rnacentral:rRNA from 1 species
UACGUAGGGGGCAAGCGUUGUCCGGAAUCAUUGGGCGUAAAGAGCGUGUAGGCGGCUCGGUAAGUCCGCUGUGAAAGUCCAGGGCUCAACCCUGGGAUGCCGGUGGAUACUGUCGGGCUCGAGUCCGGAAGAGGAGUGUGGAAUUCCUGGUGUAGCGGUGAAAUGCGUAGAUAUCUGGAGGAACACCGGUGGUGUAAACGGCGUUUCUGGACCAUUACUGACGCUGAUGCACGAAAGCGUGGGUAGCAAACAGG